UACGAAGGGGGCUAGCGUUGCUCGGAAUUACUGGGCGUAAAGCGCACGUAGGCGGCUUUCUAAGUCGGGGGUGGAAUCCUGGAGCUCAACUCCAGAACUGCCUUCGAUACUGGAGAGCUCGAGUCCGGGAGAGGUGAGUGGAACUGCGAGUGUAGAGGUGAAAUUCGUAGAUAUUCGCAAGAACACCAGUGGCGAAGGCGGCUCACUGGCCCGGUACUGACGCUGAGGUGCGAAAGCGUGGGGAGCAAACAGGG
rnacentral:rRNA from 1 species